rnacentral:ribozyme from 1 species
AAACCAGACGCAAGCAACAGCAGCAACGGCACCAACUAGAAGAAAUCGUUAAAGCAUACUAUCCGAUACGUACAUACGACUUGCUUAUUUUAAGAGACUA